GACGAACGCUGGCGGCGUGCCUAAUACAUGCAAGUAGAACGCUGAAGGAGGAGCUUGCUCUUCUGGAUGAGUUGCGAACGGGUGAGUAACGCGUAGGUAACCUGCCUGGUAGCGGGGGAUAACUAUUGGAAACGAUAGCUAAUACCGCAUAAGAGUAGAUGUUGCAUGACAUUUACUUAAAAGGUGCAAUUGCAUCACUACCAGAUGGACCUGCGUUGUAUUAGCUAGUUGGUGGGGUAACGGCUUACCAAGGCGACGAUUCAUAGCCGACCUGAGAGGGUGAUCGGCCACACUGGGACUGAGACACGGCCCAGACUCCUACGGGAGGCAGCAGUAGGGAAUCUUCGGCAAUGGACGGAAGUCUGACCGAGCAACGCCGCGUGAGUGAAGAAGGUUUUCGGAUCGUAAAGCUCUGUUGUAAGAGAAGAACGAGUGUGAGAGUGGAAAGUUCACACUGUGACGGUAUCUUACCAGAAAGGGACGGCUAACUACGUG
rnacentral:rRNA from 1 species